CAAACGUUUAGGUGAUUCCGGUGGUUAGUGAGUGGUGUUCCACGACGUCAAUCAAAACAGAACGCGUCCGCAGCCAGGACUUGUACGCGGAUACCUUCGAAGGAGGAUGGUGCGGAACAAGGUUAGGGGAUUAGGGGAAAGUUGGUUUUCAAAAGGAUGAGGCCAGCUUCCUGCCGGAUCUGCAGCUGUUUCACGACCGAAAUGGGACGCCGUUUAUGCGGAUGUGAAUUUGCACCGGCUGUAUUCGAUAAAGUUAAUUUUAACGGUGAGGAGAAGGAUCCGACGGAAGAGGGAAACGACGAGAAGCGAUCGGAGGUGGUCAGCGCGGAUGUUGCACUCGGUGCCGGCAGUUUACGACCAUCAGCAGCAUUAUGUGCCGGAAGUGAUGACGGGACAGUGUGGGAUGUCCUGAGGGUCCGCAGUCCAUUUCUCGGUGCGGGACAUGUUUGACGAGUAUUACAUAAACAUCCGGAAGAACAGUUUGCACCAGUUCUGGAAGAACCGUCUGUACGAAAGCCGCAGGUCCUGAAGCUGUCGUACUCGGAUUACUUCCAGAGGUUGGAGCGAUAUCCGACGAACCUGAUCAAGAUCAUCUACCUGGAAUACCGAAGAAGCCACCGCAACUCCCGCCCGCAAACUCUCAACUCGCGACGGCGCAGCUUCGGCCGGAUGAACUGGCAACAUCUGUGCCAUUCUCGAAGGAGGACGAUGUGAUCGGGAAUUAUCGGUUCAGGCGCUUCACUUCCCAGUCGG